rnacentral:rRNA from 1 species
CCCUUAGACGUUCUGGGCCGCACGCGCGCUACACUGACCAGUGCAACAAGCAUCCGUCCUUGGCCGACAGGCCCGGGCAAUCUUUGAACGCUGGUCGUGAUGGGGAUAGACUUUUGCAAUUUUUGGUCUUCAACGAGGAAUUCCUAGUAAACGCAAGUCAUCAACUUGCAUUGAUUACGUCCCUGCCCUUUGUACACAUCGCCCGUCGCACCUACCGAUUGAAUGGUCCGGUGAAGCCUCCGGAUUGGCGCGCACCUCGGUGCCGCCGAGAAGUUGGCUAAACCUUACCAUUUAGAGGAAGGUGAANUCGUANCA